UCGGACUGCAGGCUGAAACUCGCCUGCACGAAGUUGGAAUUGCUAGUAAUCGCGGAUCAGCAUGCCGCGGUGAAUACGUUCCCGGGUCUUGUACACACCGCCCGUCAAGCCAUGGAAGCCGGGGGUGCCUGAAGUGCGCUGCCGCAAGGAGCGCCCUAGGGUAAAACCGGUGACUGGGGCUAAGUCGUAACAAGGUACC
rnacentral:rRNA from 1 species